GAACGAAUAGCUUAGUGGUCAGAGUGCUUGAACGGUAAACAAGAUGCGCACGCUCAAAUCUGCUACGUUAA
rnacentral:tRNA from 1 species